GACCGCGUGGCGCAAUGGAUAGCGCAUCUGACUUCUAAUCAAGGGGGUUGGUGGGUUCGAGUCCCAUCGGCGGGUCG
rnacentral:tRNA from 1 species